UACGAAGGGGGCUAGCGUUGCUCGGAAUCACUGGGCGUAAAGGGUGCGUCGGCGGGUCUUUAAGUCAGGGGGGAAAUCCUGGAGCUCAACUCCAGAACUGCCUUUGAUACUGAAGAUCUUGAGUUCGGGAGAGGUGAGUGGAACUGCGAGUGUAGAGGUGAAAUUCGUAGAUAUUCGCAAGAACACCAGUGGCGAAGGCGGCUCACUGGCCCGAUACUGACGCUGAGGCACGAAAGCGUGGGGAGCAAACAGG
rnacentral:rRNA from 1 species